UUUGGUUUGGUUUGGUUUGGUUUAUAUAUCAUUCUAAGCUGCAGGAGCAAUAUAGGAAGAACAAGAAAACUCUGUAGGCUGUGUUUGAAAAAUAAACAAUGACAUCAUUGAAGUAGGUCUAGUCUUUAUUAACAACCUGUUGACAAUGCCACAUUAAGAAUAUCUUAAUUUUCUCAAGUUAGGAAAUGAUUUUCAUACUUUGGUUAAGCAAGUUUCUACCUGCCUCAUAUGAUAAUCACUAAUGACAAGCUUUCUGAUUCAACACAUGAUGAAAGUUACAGGAUGGGCUUGACAAAGUACUUCAGGUCACUGUCACCACGAAAAUUAAUCAUAUAUGUACUUUUUUGCGAGUACUAAAGGUCUUCUCUGCUUUUAUUCUUCGAUAGAUAUAUCCUAGGACCUUCAGGAGAUGGCCACUUUUCUUUGAAGUACUCGUCAGUAUUUUCUUUCUUAUCUACUUAGACAUUCACACUAUGAAUGAACUUAAUUUGUUUUUAUUUUCUUCUCUUUCAUUUUUUAAGUCUUACCUCACACAAGAAUAUGAUUUCCCCACUUGUGUUUAUUAACUUGAUCCCACUAUUUUUGUCUAGUGAUCAAAAUUUUGUUCAUUCAUAGCAUUAUUAUUUAUUUAUUUCAUUUUAGAACUUCCAGUUAGUAUUGGUCUCCUCGGCCACCCAUGGGCCAAUAGCUGACUGAGUCAUUUGCAUUCACGGAAAAGUAUAGAUGUGUAGAGCAUUAAUAUUUUGCUGACUUUGGAUAAGGAUUUUUAUUUAUAUUUAUUAUUUUAUUUUAUUUUAUUUUUUGCACAAGGAUAUUUUUCCAAGCAAAAAAGGCUUAAAAGACUUGGAUAAGAAUUUUCCGCAUUAAUUUUUCUGUAAUAAUCGUGUUAUGUCUUUUACUAGACCAAAACAUGUCACUAAAUCUUAUAAUUUUAUUUUAUUUAUUUAUUUAUUUUUUUUUUUUGGGUUCAAUGGUAAGAACUUACAUGCACAUCGACUAGUCCCCUCCUAGGUCACGCUGAGACUACGAAGAAAUUUCUUUUUUUGCGGCCUCGUCUCAAAAGUUGAACCCUAUGUGAGAAGCAUACCUACCAACGAUCAACGACAAUUUUCAAGGUGUUGGAAAAUUUUAGAAACGAAUGGGAAUUGACUCCAUUUGAAUGAAAGGGUGCAAUCAUUCAUGGUGUCUAUUCGUAUGAAAGAGUAUGAACCCAAGAGACAUGACCGUUCUGAAGGUCACAAGUACUUCUAUAAAUACCAUCUCAUUCCAUGGCUUUGAUGCAUAAAUUAAGGUUUGUUUUAGGAUUCAUACAUUAUGUCUAGUCAAGUAUAUAAGAAAGAGUGCAUGGCACAAAUUGAUUCUUUGUACACAUAGACAGUUGUAUAAUUUCUGUGUGGAGUGAUCGUUGUAUCCUGGAGGUAGGAUGUCCAUUAAUCGCAAGCACCAGAGGCGAGGGCAAAAUUCUGUCUUAAAGACACAGAGUUCAAACAUUGGCCUCGGUCACAAUGUGUAUUAAAUUUACAAAAUUUUUGUAAGAAAUUUCUUGUGUUUUAUUUGAUUAUUUAUUUGCAUUAAAUUGAUUUUACCGAAAAUAUUUUUCCUACAAUUUUAAGACAUAAUUUUCCCUAUA